GCUUCAGGAGCGCGUGCUAAAAUUGGAAUACAGAGACAGCAGGACCUCUGUGCAAGGGUGACAUGAAUUCGUGAAGCAUUCCGCAUUUUU
rnacentral:snRNA from 1 species